GUCUUGGAAAGUCAUGUUUGGGCAUGCCAUGAAGACAAGACACACCUGCUAAAAUCGGUUUCCUAUUGAACAUACUUCUUUCCGUAAGAAAUAGUAUAGUUUGAUUACAUUUUAGGGUAUCUGAGGAGUAUAUAGAAACGUAUUUUGACUUGUUGAAACAAAGUUUAGGGGUCAAUUUUUGGAUUCCUUUCUCUGCAUGUUGAAUGAGUGGAUUACUCAAAUGGAUUGCGCCAACUAAAGACUUUUUGGGAUAUAAAGAAGGAUUUUAUAUAACAAAACGACACUACAUGUUAUAGCUGGGACCCUUUGGAUAACAAAUCAGAGGAAGGUUUUCAAAAAACGAUUGAUGAAUGUCAUGAGCCAACUGAGGAGCCAAGAUCUACUGGUGACCUUCAGCAACAGGAGCAGAGAAACCUCAGCCCCCUCAACCACCAGGAACUUGUGGACCAAGGCCAGGGAGGAGUUGCCAAGGGUGAUGGAGGAUUAGAGAGAGCCUGGAGGUCCAGGGGAGAACCAUGGAGGAAAGGGUAGAUGGAGUUGGUCAACAUGGUCCAGGUGAUGAUUGAGCACUGCAGGGAGAUGAAGGAGAAUAUGGUGGAGCUGUGGGCAACAAUGGAGCAGUAGAGAGUGGAGAAGUGCUCCCAACAGCUCACUAACCUCAACAAAGUCCCUGCUGAGCCUCACAGAAAGACAGAAGUUAGGCUCACCUCUUCUGGGCCUCCUUUGUCAUCAAGGACUCUGUUUUGUCAUUUAUAUUAAAACAGUAUAGUAGUAGGCUAUGUAUUUAUUGUCCUGCAUGUCCGUUACGAACAUCCAAGGUGGGACUGUAGCCUAUAUUUCCCCCUUUCCAGAAUAGGCCAACUAAUCUACCAGCUCAUGUUUGUUGCCUAUGUUUUAAACCUAGUUCUUACUUGAUUCAUUAUGAGCCUUGCCUUAUUUGACAGCAUUGUUUGGAAGGAUUUAAUUGUUAGUGGGGAAAACAGGGCAGUGGGCCUUGAGAUAUGCAGUUGUUGAUAUGUGAGUGGACACCUCCAACAACUGUUUUGCAGAGCCAUAUAGUUUGAGAUUUUUUAAACCAAAAGCAUUAUGAUGCAGCCAUUAUGAUGCAUUUUCAUGACAUCACGUAAUGGCGUGGAAGCAGAUACAAUUAUUAAUUAUUAAUUCAAAAAAGAUAUAUCACGGAGAUAUUGUCAGCCCGUGUGAGCCCAACGGUCAACAUUUGGGGGUCUGGCUCAUGGACUAAUUUGACAGUUUCUAAAUUGGCCUACAGAUGGGUGCAUCAUAUGCAUUGUGACAGCACAUAUCCCAGGGAAACCGGACACUCCCAAACACACAACAAAUAGAAAAUUAACAAAAAUGCAAAACACAACAAAAUAUACAGGUACAGUAACUGCCAAAAUAAAGGAAACACUUGAGUAAAUGAGGGAUACAAAGUAUAUUGAAAUCAGGUGCUUCUACAAAGGUGUUGGUCCUGAGUUAAUUAAGCAAUUAACGUCCCAUGCUUAGGGUCAUGUAUAAAAAUGUCCAACGUCCUAUUAUUUUGGCUACCAUGGCUGGAAGAAGAGAUCUCAGUGACUUUGAAAGAGGGGUCUCAAAGGAGCUUAGGGGGCUUAUACACUUAUGGGAGAUUCUAAAGCAGUGCCUGAGACAGCGUUUUACACCACCUGUCACGUUCUGACCUUUAUUUCCUUUGUUUUGUCAUUAUUUAGUAUGGUCAGGGUGUGAGUUGGGUGGGCAGUCUAUGUUUGUUUUUCUAUGAUUUGGGUAUUUCUAUGUUUCGGCCUAGUAUGGUUCUCAAUCAGAGGCAGGUGCCAUUAGUUGUCUCUGAUUGAGAAUCAUACUUAGGUAGCCUGGGUGUCACUGUGUGUUUGUGGGUGAUUGUUCCUGUCUCUGUGUUUGCACCAGAUAGGACUGUUUAGGUUUUCACACGUUUCUUGUUUUUGUAGUCAGUUGUUCAUGUGCACAUUUAUGUAUUAAAAGAACCAUGGACACUUACCACUCCGCAUAUUGGUCCUCUGAUCCUUUACGCCUCUCCUCUUCGGAAGAAGAGGAGG
ensembl:lncRNA